UACAGUGGGGGCAAGCGUUGUUCGGAAUUACUGGGCGUAAAGGGCUCGUAGGCGGCCAACUAAGUCCGACGUGAAAUCCCAAAGCUUAACUUUGGAACUGCGUCGGAUACUGGAUGGCUUGAAUUCGGGAGAGGGAUGCAGAAUUCCAGGUGUAGCGGUGAAAUGCGUAGAUAUCUGGAGGAAUACCGGUGGCGAAGGCGGCAUCCUGGACCGACAUUGACGCUGAGGAGCGAAAGCUAGGGGAGCAAACGGG
rnacentral:rRNA from 1 species